CAUGUAGGCGGCCUUUUAAGUCGGUUGUGAAAUCCCUUGGCUUAACCAAGGAACUGCAACUGAUACUGAUAGGCUUGAGUACGGAAGAGGAGAACGGAAUUCCCGGUGUAAGGGUGAAAUCUGCAGAGAUCGGGAGGAACACCAGUGGCGAAGGCGGUUCUCUGGUCCGUAACUGACGCUGAAAUGCGAAAGCUAGGGGAGCAAACAGGAUUAGAUACCCUGGUAGUCC
rnacentral:rRNA from 1 species